rnacentral:rRNA from 1 species
AGAGUUUGAUCCUGGCUCAGGAUGAAUGCUGGCGGCGUGCCUAACACAUGCAAGUCGAGCGGCAGCGAGUUCUGCACUAUCAACUUGAAGCCUGGACGCGGGGAUUUCCGAAGGAGAUCAGCCGUAUCAUUUCGAAAGGAGUGAGUGUCUAGGGUGAUUUCGAAUUGAUGGUGCAGAAUGUCGGCGAGCGGCGAACGGCUGAGUAACGCGUAGGAAUUUGCCCCAAAGUGAGGAAUAACUGCCCGAAAGGGUAGCUAAUACCGCAUAUGGUCUUCGGAUUAAAGGAUUUAUCCGCUUUGGGAGAAGCCUGCGUUGGAUUAGGUUGUUGGUAGGGUAAUGGCCUACCAAGCCGACGAUCCAUAGCUGGUCUGAGAGGAUGAUCAGCCAGACUGGAACUGAGACACGGUCCAGACUCCUACGGGAGGCAGCAGUGAGGAAUCUUCCACAAUGGGCGAAAGCCUGAUGGAGCAACGCCGCGUGCAGGAUGAAGGCCUUCGGGUUGUAAACUGCUUUUAUAAGCGAGAAAUAUGAUGGUAACUUAUGAAUAAGGAUCGGCUAACUACGUGCCAGCAGCCGCGGUCAUACGUAGGAUCCGAGCGUUAUCCGGAGUGACUGGGCGUAAAGAGUUGCGUAGGCGGUUUGUUAAGUGAAUAGUGAAAUCUGGUGGCUCAACCAUACAGGCUAUUAUUCAAACUGGCAAACUCGAGAGUGGUAGAGGUCACUGGAAUUUCUUGUGUAGGAGUGAAAUCCGUAGAUAUAAGAAGGAACACCGAUGGCGUAGGCAGGUGACUGGACCAUUUCUGACGCUAAGGCACGAAAGCGUGGGGAGCGAACCGGAUUAGAUACCCGGGUAGUCCACGCCGUAAACGAUGGAUACUGGCUGUUGGAGGUAUCGACCCCUUCAGUAGCGAAGCUAACGCGUUAAGUAUCCCGCCUGUGGAGUACGGCCGCAAGGCUAAAACAUAAAGGAAUUGACGGGGAC